rnacentral:lncRNA from 1 species
UUGGGACCAUGUUCUGGGAUACUGGAAAGCAAAGUUGGAACAUCCGGACAAGUUUAUGUUCUUGAAAUAUGAAGAAAUGAAUGAAGAUACUGUUUUGUAUCUUAAGAAAUUGGUAGAGUUUAUGGGUUAUCCUUUCUCAUCAGAGGAACAGCAAAAAGGGGUGCCUGAAAAGAUUGUAAAGAUGUGUAGUUUUGAGAAUCUAAGCAACUUGGAAGUGAAUAAAAGUGGGAAACAUCGUGAAGGGCAAGGAAAUUUGGGGAU